GACAGAGGGUGCAAACGUUGUUCGGAAUUACUGGGCGGAAAGCGCGUGUAGGCGGCCCUGCAAGUCGGAUGUGAAAUCCCACGGCUCAACCGUGGAAGUGCAUUCGAAACUGCAGGGCUAGAGUCCUGGAGAGGAAGGUGGAAUGCUUGGUGUAGAGGUGAAAUUCGUAGAUAUCAAGCGGAACACCGGUGGCGAAGGCGGCCUUCUGGACAGUGACUGACGCUGAGACGCGAAAGCGUGGGGAGCAAACAGG
rnacentral:rRNA from 1 species